rnacentral:lncRNA from 1 species
GCUGGUUUUGUAUUCAUUGAUUUCGACUGAGGUGACUUUCGAAGAGGCCGACCUACCUUUUGUAAAUCCACCUUUUAGUGCAAGUUUCACUUUUCCUCAAUGUCAUGUCUAUUGUUGUUGUAUUUUCUCUCUCUCUUUUUUCGGUUGCAAAAUCUUAAGUCAUGAAAGUCAGAAUUUUGUGGUCAGUCAUCCUCAUCUUUGAUUUUUGAGUGCUCUUGUCUAAGGAUAGGGUGCAGCUGGUUGAGGAUGAGGACUG